UUUGGACCAAACAAGCAUGGUUAACAAACAAACAAACAAACCAUAAGUUUCAUUAUGGGCAUAUCCGGUGAUAGUUUACAUGUUUACUGAGAUCCAUCGAGAAAAAGAUGUUUAUUCGAUGACUCAUUGAGAGAAAUUGCGUAACGCCUAAGAGUCGUCAUAUUGCUAAUUAUAUCUUUGAUACAGUCGAGUAUAUAUAGACAUUUGUACUGGCCUCAGAAUGCGAACGAUUGUCACGACAACCCUCAACUUUUUAAGAACAAACAUUGCCCAUAAAUGAAAUGAACAAAACCCAUCCCUUGAAAUUUCGAAAUAUUCAUUCGUAUAUUGACCCAUAAAACUGUGGUCGGUUUUUUAUACAACCGCGUGGGACUGAGGUUCCCUCCACAUUUUUCAUAUUCUGCUUCUAUCCAAGAUUCCUUCAUCCAGCAUACCAAACUGGUUCUACCGCCAAUGGUAAUAUGAAUAUUCAACAAGUACUUAGAUUAAAGUUGAAAGGUCUCUCCUAAAUAAUGUCAAUGGAAAACGCGGGAAAACCAGCUAUAAGAACGCCGGAAAUGGCUCAGCGAUUUGUAUGCCAUGUGCAUGGGAACAAGACCUUUCUAAAUAGAAUGAGCCUUCCAGUGAUGAAGUUUCUUUGCAGUCCCCAGCAUGCUAAGAAAAUAUAUCCCAGUGAAUGGCUCAAAAUUCGGUUUCAUUCAUAAAACGUGUCAAUAGUAAUUGUGACCUGGUAGAAAUUUUAUCUCUGACGUCACUUAGACACACCUACUCAUGGAAUCUAUCAAUGACUUCUAAGCCGAGGCGGGAAAUAGUACGUAGGGCAUAUCGAUUGUACUUACGAGUACAUGAAACUUGGGACAAGGGUGAAGAAGAGACAAAUAAAGACUUCAUUCACUCGUUGGGGAGUUUGCGCGACAGUGUGUACAAGAUUUAAUCGUACUGGCCUGCAAAAUCCCAAAUGGAGUGGAAACGUUCUCAGCAGUGUAAUGGAACAAUAUAAUACAAACGUAUUCUAAGUAACAACAAAAGACCCUGUGGUAUUCGAACUCGGGAUGUACGGAUCACAAGUCCGACACUUUAUCCACUCGGCUAUGGAGUAAGUUACAUUUUUAGUCCAUAAAAUCCUUUUAAUAAAACAAAAUGUCGUUUCGAUCACGGUCAGCCAUUUUGUGAUGAUGUGUUAAUCCACCUUAAUCAUUUCAAAGUAUUUGUUUACAUGUAAAGCGCUGAACAAAUGCUAAUGAUACAUAUACAUAAUAAUAUUUUCCUUAUGCGUGUGUAAAAGAUGAACUUAUUUUUAUUUAUUUAUUCAUUCGUUUUUAUUUUAUAUAUUUAUUUAUUAAUUUUUUGCAAUCAAAAAAUUAAGUUUUUGUAGACAUUAUCGAUUUAAGUUUAAGUCUAAUUAAAGUCAUUAAAUCUUAACAAUUUUUUACUUUGAAAGAACUUUGAUUUUUUUUAGCGAUUUAACGAUUAGCUUAGGUUUUUCUAUAAUAUACAUGUAUAUACAGAUUGCGUUGCUUCAGGUCUAAAAUAAAAUUAACUAUAUAUAACAAUCUUGACCUUUAAAAGCUAUCGUUGAACAAAUACGUCUUAGUACAAUAAGAUUGACUAAAUCCCGUCGUAAAUCUUACUUUCCGUUCUAGUGAUAAGAAGACUCAUUGUGAUUCCCUCUCGUUUACGUCAGAAUUUACUUUUUAAUGUUUACAUGUUGGAACGAAUCCAUUACCAUUUUAUUCUUUCUCGGUAUUUUGUAUAUUCACGUUUGAUACUUCCUAGUGCAUCGAAAAUGGGUUUUAUUCUCGUGUCAUGUUUUACCUGGCUGAAUGUUAAUUGGAUGGAUAUUAAAUUGUCAUCGAAAUUACAGCAUUCCAAUAAUAUUCAUGUAAAUUUCAGACCUAAAACUGUUUAUUUCUAUCAGAUUUUCUUUGUACACUUUGAUUAACUAUAUUUUUUAUUUCUGCGUUCUUCAUUAAAGGAUAAGACUGGUCUCAUUGUUUAAUUAAUCAUACAUGUGGGAAACAAGUGAUCAAUUAGUCUGAGCCAUCGUAUGCUGCGGAGAAUAUUUAGGAAGCCAUGACACCUGAGAUACUGGUGAGCUGAUAUCGAAAGAAAUGCAGCAGUCAUGAGUCAGAUGCUUUUCAAGGAAGGACCCACCCUUUGGUCCAACAAUGUAGUUUUAUUUUUUUUACUUGUUGUUUGUCCUUUAAACCCCUACUAUUAAGUUUGUGGUGUCUGUAUUUGCUAAAAAUUGCACAAUUGGGUUUACGUUAAAAAUAGUUUUCAUUUUCACUUCUGUAUAUCGUGAAUAAUAACUGGUUUAAUCAUAAAACAAAAAGAGGGGUAACUCUUAUAAAGAGAUAGUACUUGAUGUCAUUUGUAUUUUAUGUAAUUUGAGGAGUUAUUUAGAUAUUCAUAUUUGUUCAUAACUGCCUGAAAAGCAAGAACAGCGAAAAUGUUUACGUUUGCAGGAAAAACAUAAUUGUUUUGAGAUUGACUUUUAUUUUUUACUUCUUAAAUCAUAAUUACUAGUGUAUUUCUAACAUUGGCAUAACAUAUUAUACAUUGGUGUUAUUGAUUAAUCAGGUUAAGCAACACAUUUGUAACUUUAUUUCAUGUAAAAAGAUUUUCUUAAAUAGCCGAUGUGAAAAACUGACGCUAUGAAUUGACACAAGAUUCUUGUUUUGGUUUCUAAUAUCACGUGAAUUUUAUGAGAAUGAUAUGAAAAUCAUACGAUGAAAUCACGUGCAAUCCAAAGUAUGCUUUUCACAUGAUGUUCGCAACCAUGUGCCCGACUGCUGCUUGUAAUCGAAACCACCAACUUUUAUUUCUCAUUUUACUGUAUUCUGAACACUACAUUUAUUCAUUCUAAUUUGCAUUUACAUGUAUCUAUGUAGAAAAAGUUUAUGCUGAUUUCUUUAUAAUAUCAUACACAUUAAAUAAAUCAAACAGUAAAUGGAAAUGAAUGAUAAUACAUGUUUAUAAAAUGAAUUUUAUAAAUCUUAAUAUCGCAUUAGAAAAAAAGUCAAAAUUUCAAAUCAAGCUGA